UUCGCCCUUUUCCGGUUGAUCCUGCCGGACCUGACUGCUAUCGGAUUGAUACUAAGCCAUGCGAGUCUUUGCAGUAAUGCAAGGCAUACGGCUCAGUAACACGUAUGCAACUUACCCUAUGGACGAGGAUAAUCUCGGGAAACUGAGCAUAAUACUCGAUAGAUCAUAAUGCCUGGAAUGGUUUAUGGUUGAAAUGAUUCGUCGCCAUAGGAUGGGACUGCGGCCUAUCAGCUUGUUGGUGAGGUAAUGGCCCACCAAGGCGAUUACAGGUACGGGCUCUGAGAGGAGAAGCCCGGAGAUGGGUACUGAGACAAGGACCCAGGCCCUAUGGGGCGCAGCAGGCGAGAAAACUUUGCAAUGUGCGAAAGCACGACAAGGUUAAUCCGAGUGAUUUCUGCUAAAGAAAUCUUUUGCAAGUCAUAAAACCACUAGUGAAUAAGGGGGGGGCAAGUUCUGGUGUCAGCCGCCGCGUUAAAACCAGCACCUCAAGU
rnacentral:rRNA from 1 species